rnacentral:rRNA from 1 species
AGAUUGAACGCUGGCGGCAUGCCUUACACAUGCAAGUCGAACGGUAGAGUAGCAAUACUCGAGAGUGGCGAACGGGUGAGUAAUAUAUCGGAACGUGCCCAGUCGUGGGGGAUAACGUAGAGAAAUUUACGCUAAUACCGCAUACGAUCUAAGGAUGAAAGCGGGGGAUCGCAAGACCUCGCGCGAUUGGAGCGGCUGAUAUCAGAUUAGGUUGUUGGUGAGGUAAAAGCUCACCAAGCCGACGAUCUGUAGCUGGUUUGAGAGAACGACCAGCCACACGUGGGACUGAGACACGGCCCAG